AUUGAACGCUGGCGGCAUGCCUUACACAUGCAAGUCGAACGCGAAAGGGGGGCAACCCCUGAGUAGAGUGGCGCACGGGUGAGUAAUGCAUCGGAACGUGUCCUGUAGCGGGGGAUAACCUAGCGAAAGCUAGGCUAAUACCGCAUACGCCCUAAGGGGGAAAGUGGGGGAUCGUAAGACCUCACACUAUAGGAGCGGCCGAUGCCGGAUUAGCUAGUUGGGGGGGUAAAAGCUCACCAAGGCGACGAUCCGUAGCUGGUCUGAGAGGAUGAUCAGCCACACUGGGACUGAGCCACGGCCCAGACUCCUACGGGAGGCAGCAGUGGGGAAUUUUGGACAAUGGGGGAAACCCUGAUCCAGCCAUGCCGCGUGAGUGAAGAAGGCCUUCGGGUUGUAAAGCUCUUUCGGCCGGGACGAAAUCGCACGCGUGAAUAUCGUGUGCGGAUGACGGUACCGGCAGAAGAAGGACCGGCUAAUUACGUGCCAGCCGCCGCGGUAA
rnacentral:rRNA from 1 species